UUUUGACAAAUUCAAGGCCAAUGAAAAAGAAAAAUAGGUAGAAGGGAAAUUAUGGCACAACCAAACAGAGGAAGUCUUAGAAGACAGCCAGAUUCCAGAUUCGAUGCAAAGUGAUGAUGAAAUAAGUGGAAAUGAAGAGGAAGAUGAGGACCAAUGGGUUAAUGAUAAUGUCAAUGCAAAUACUAUUCAAAUCAUAUCUGAAAACG
rnacentral:lncRNA from 1 species